rnacentral:rRNA from 1 species
AUUGAACGCUGGCGGCAGGCUUAACACAUGCAAGUCGAGCGAUGAAGGACCAGCUUGCUGGUUUGGAUUAGCGGCGGACGGGUGAGUAACACUUAGGAAUCUGCCUAGUAGUGGGGGAUAGCCCGGGGAAACUCGGAUUAAUACCGCAUAACAUCUACGGAUUAAAGGUGCCUUAGGGUAUCGCUAUUAGAUGAGCCUAAGUUAGAUUAGCUAGUUGGUGGGGUAAAGGCCUACCAAGGCGACGAUCUAUAGCUGGUCUGAGAGGAUGAUCAGCCACACUGGGACUGAGACACGGCCCAGACUCCUACGGGAGGCAGCAGUGGGGAAUAUUGGACAAUGGGGGCAACCCUGAUCCAGCCAUGCCGCGUGUGUGAAGAAGGCCAUUAGGUUGUAAAGCACUUUAAGCAGUGAAGAAGACCAUACGGUUAAUACCCGUAUGCGAUGACAUUAGCUGCAGAAUAAGCACCGGCUAACUCUG